rnacentral:rRNA from 1 species
GAUGAACGCUGGCGGCGUGCCUAAUACAUGCAAGUCGAGCGAACAGACGAGGAGCUUGCUCCUCUGACGUUAGCGGCGGACGGGUGAGUAACACGUGGAUAACCUACCUAUAAGACUGGGAUAACUUCGGGAAACCGGAGCUAAUACCGGAUAAUAUAUUGAACCGCAUGGUUCAAUAGUGAAAGACGGUUUUGCUGUCACUCAUAGAUGGAUCCGCGCCGCAUUAGCUAGUUGGUAAGGUAACGGCUUACCAAGGCAACCAUGCGUAGCCGACCUGAGAGGGUGAUCGGCCACACUGGAACUGAGACACGGUCCAGACUCCUACGGGAGGCAGCAGUAGGGAAUCUUGCGCACUGGGCGAAAGCCUGACGGAGCAACGCCGCGUGAGUGAUGAAGGUCUUCGGAUCGUAAAACUCUGUUAUUAGGGAAGAACAAAUGUGUAAGUAACUAUGCACCUCUUGACGGUACCUAAUCAAAAAGCCACGGCUAACUACGUG